rnacentral:rRNA from 1 species
UAGGGAAUCUUCCACAAUGGACGCAAGUCUGAUGGAGCAACGCCGCGUGAGUGAAGAAGGUUUUCGGACCGUAAAGCUCUGUUGUUGGUGAAGAAGGAUAGAGGUAGUAACUGGCCUUUAUUUGACGGUAAUCAACCAGAAAGUCACGGCUAACUACGUGCCAGCAGCCGCGGUAAUACGUAGGUGGCAAGCGUUGUCCGGAUUUAUUGGGCGUAAAGCGAGCGCAGGCGGAAGAAUAAGUCUGAUGUGAAAGCCCUCGGCUUAACCGAGGAAUUGCAUCGGAAACUGUUUUCUUGAGUGCAGAAGGGGAGAGUAGAACUCCAUGUGUAGCGGUGGAAUGCGUAGAUAUAUGGAAGAAUACCAGUGGCGAAGGCGGCUCUCUGGUCUGCAACUGACGCUGAGGCUCGAAAGCAUGGGUAGCGAACAGGAUUAGAUACCCUGGUAGUCCAUGCCGUAAACGAUGAGUGCUAAGUGUUGGGGAGGCUUCCGCCUNUCAGUGCUGCAGCUAACGCAUU